rnacentral:tRNA from 1 species
UCCCUGGUGGCCUAGCAGUUAAGGACUCAGUGUUGUCACUACUGUGGCUUGGGUUCAAUCCCUGCCCUGGGAA